CGUAACAAGGUCUCCGUUGGUGAACCAGCGGAGGGAUCAUUACCGAGUUUACAACUCCCAAACCCCUGUGAACAUACCACUUGUUGCCUCGGCGGAUCAGCCCGCUCCCGGUAAAACGGAACGGCCCGCCAGAGGACCCCUAAACUCUGUUUCUAUAUGUAACUUCUGAGUAAAACCAUAAAUAAAUCAAAACUUUCAACAACGGAUCUCUUGGUUCUGGCAUCGAUGAAGAACGCAGCAAAAUGCGAUAAGUAAUGUGAAUUGCAGAAUUCAGUGAAUCAUCGAAUCUUUGAACGCACAUUGCGCCCGCCAGUAUUCUGGCGGGCAUGCCUGUUCGAGCGUCAUUUCAACCCUCAAGCACAGCUUGGUGUUGGGACUCGCGUUAAUUCGCGUUCCCCAAAUUGAUUGGCGGUCACGUCGAGCUUCCAUAGCGUAGUAGUAAAACCCUCGUUACUGGUAAUCGUCGCGGCCACGCCGUUAAACCCCAACUUCUGAAUGUUGACCUCGGAUCAGGUAGGAAUACCCGCUGAACUUAUGCAUAUCAAU
rnacentral:rRNA from 1 species